rnacentral:rRNA from 1 species
AACGAACGCUGGCGGCAGGCCUCAUACAUGCAAGUCUAACGGGUGUAGCAAUAAAUCAGUGGCGCACGGGUGAGUAACGCGUGGGAAUAUGCCCUUCACUACGGAACAACCUCGGGAAACUGAGGCUAAUACCGUAUAAUGUCUCCGGACCAAAGAUUUAUCGGUCAAGGAUUAGCCCGCGUCUGAUUAGGUAGUUGGUGAGGUAACGGCUCACCAAGCCUACGAUCAGUAGCUGGUCUGAGAGGAUGAUCAGCCAAACUGGGACUGAGACACGGCCCAAACUCCUACGGGAGGGCGGAGUAAGGAAUAUUGGACAAUGGGGGAAACCCUGAGCCAGCCAUGCCGCGUGAGUGAAGAAGGCCUUCGGGUUGUAAAGCUCUUUUACCCCUGACGAUAAUGACGGUAAGGGGAGAAAAAGCCACGGCUAACUUCGUGCCAGCCGCCGCGGUAA